AUUGAACGCUGGCGGCAUGCUUUACACAUGCAAGUCGAACGGUAACAGGUCUUCGGAUGCUGACGAGUGGCGAACGGGUGAGUAAUGUAUCGGAACGUGCCCAGUAGUGGGGGAUAACUACUCGAAAGAGUGGCUAAUACCGCAUGAGAACUGAGGUUGAAAGCGGGGGACCUUCGGGCCUCGCGCUACUGGAGCGGCCGAUAUCAGAUUAGGUAGUUGGUGGGGUAAAGGCCUACCAAGCCGACGAUCUGUAGCUGGUCUGAGAGGACGACCAGCCACACUGGGACUGAGACACGGCCCAGACUCCUACGGGAGGCAGCAGUGGGGAAUUUUGGACAAUGGACGCAAGUCUGAUCCAGCAAUGCCGCGUGCAGGACGAAGGCCUUCGGGUUGUAAACUGCUUUUGUACAGAACGAAAAGGCUCUGGUUAAUACCUGGGGCUCAUGACGGUACUGUAAGAAUAAGCACCGGCUAACUACGUG
rnacentral:rRNA from 1 species